UAUAUCCAACAGUUGUGUCGCUUCGACUCACGCGCCACACCAUUCUCCUAACAAACUCUCCUGUGCAGCAAAGCUUUUACAUGGUGGGUUUAAAGUACACUAGGUUAUCAUAUCCCUCUCUUCUUCCUCUGGCUUUUCUUAUCUUUUGCAGAGGGGUCACUUCUAAGCUUUUUGAUUACAAGUCUGAUUGAUAAAUAAAUUAUGUGUCUCGAAGUGUAUAUUUGUGCUCCAAUUUGCGGGACUGUCAUUUUACACUAUCGAAGAGCGAUUAUCGGAAGCAUUUUCAGAAUGCCGUCAAGUUGUUGAAGAGUCUCAGACAGAUCAAAAGGAUUUGGAUUUGUGACCUUCGCUUCAGAAGCUGAAGCGGAGAAAGCCAUAACGGAGUUGAACGGAAAGGCAUUGAAUAGGCGUGUAAUUUUUGUGGACUACGCAAAGCCCACUACCAAUUUUUUAUCAAAUGCCAAUAGCAAGGUGACCUCCUCAACCAGUGGCUGAUAGUUGAUUACUUAUAUAUAUAUAUAUAUAUAUAUAUAUGUUUGGAUAUGCUCAUUAGCCUUUCUUAUUAAUAAAUCAAGCUAAUUUGUGAUGAUUCCAAAUGCGUGAAGUGGUAGAAGCUACAGCAUCAGCACCAGAAUCAAGAGUUGAUAUAUUUUUAUUUAGAAUAUGGUGUACUUCAAUUUUAUAAAUGAGAAAGUUUCCACAAUUAGUGGGCAAGUAAUUACUACAAACUAUAGUUUAAAUGAAUCGAAUAAGGUUAGACUAGCAAACAUUUCAAAGUUAGCUUAUAGUAGAAUAUGACAGUUGCUGAUCCUAUUUUUACGCUUGGCAUGAGAUAUAUUCAAGAAAUUUGUACUGUUA